rnacentral:rRNA from 1 species
UAGAUGCGAGAGUAGAGCAUAUCAAUAAGCGGAGGAAAAGAAACUAACAAGGAUUCCCCUAGUAACGGCGAGUGAAGCGGGAAGAGCUCAAAUUCGAAAUCUUCAAGGUUUGACCUUGACGAAUUGUAGUUUAAAGAAGUGUUUUCUGUUGGAGUUUUGGUAAAAGUUCUUUGGAAUAGGACAUCAUAGAGGGUGAGAAUCCCGUAUUUGACCAUUAUUUCCAGCUGUGUGAUACACUUUCAAAGAGUCGGAUUGUUUGGGAAUGCAGUCCAAAAUGGGUGGUAAAUUUCAUCUAAAGCUAAAUAUUGGCGAGAGACCGAUAGCGAACAAGUACCGUGAGGGAAAGAUGAAAAGAACUUUGAAAAGAGAGUUAAACAGUACGUGAAAGUUGUCAAAAGGGAAGCGUUUGACACCAGUGUUGUUUAGUUGAAAAUCAAUUCAAUAAUUUUUGAUUUUAAGUAGUAUUGACUUCAUCAGCUUGCUGCUUUCUUUUCAGGAAUUAUUGAAUGCACUUUUCAGUUAACAAGUCAACAUCAAUUUCUUUUGUUGUAAAAGGGUAAGAGGAAGGUGGCUUACGCUUCGGCGUAAGUGUUUAUAGCCUUUUACCUCUGCAAUCGGAGAGAUUGAGGACAGCAGCGUAGACUCUUCGGGGUUAGAUACACUUGUGCUAAGCUAUAGCCUUGUAUAGACAACUUGUUGACUAUGCUCAGUCAUGUAGCUUACUCGCUUGUGCUAUUUUACCUACGCUUAGGAUGUUGACACACGCGCGUGCUCG